rnacentral:rRNA from 1 species
AGAAUCAACGCUGGCGGCGUGCCUCAGACAUGCAAGUCGAACGAUUAAAGCUCUCUUCGGAGAGUGUAUAGAGUGGCGCACGGAUGAGUAACACGUAAGUAAUCUACCUUUGAGUGGGGAAUAACCCGGGGAAACCCGAGCUAAUACCGCAUAAUGCAGCGGCAUCGCAAGAUGACAGUUGUUAAAGGAGCAAUCCGCUUAAAGAGGAGCUUGCGGCAGAUUAGCUAGUUGGUAAGGUAAUGGCUUACAAGGCUACGAUCUGUAUCCGGUCUAAGAGGACGGUCGGACACACUGACACUGAAUAACGGGUCAGACUCCUACGGGAGCAGCAGUCGGUAAUUUGGGCAAGUGGGACGAAAGCCUGACCCAGCAACGCCGCGUAGAAGGAUGAAGUAGUUUACGGAUUAGUAAACUUACGAAAGAAUAAGGAAGUAAUAAAUAGAACGGUACUAGUUUA